rnacentral:misc_RNA from 1 species
AACUGAUACUACCUGCGGGAACCUGCGGAAGGAUCAUUACAGAGCUCGCGCCACCUUGGCGGACCUCCAUCCCACUGCCAUUCUUACGACCGUUGCUUUGGCGGGCCACGGUGGCCCGCCAGAGGCCCCAAGACCCCGUGAUGUUAAUGUCGUCCGAGGAUGUAUGGCAACAGUCAAAACUUUCAGCAAUGGAUCUCU